GACGAACAGUGCGAACGUUGUUCGGAUUCACUGGGCUUAAAGGGCGCGUAGGCGGCUCGCCAAGUCAGGGGUGAAAUCUUUCGGCUCAACCGGAAAAGCGCUUCUGAUACUGGCGGGCUGGAGGGAGGUAGGGGCGACUGGAACUUCCGGUGGAGCGGUGAAAUGCGCAGAUAUCGGGAGGAACACCAGCGGCGAAGGCGGCACUCUGGGCUGGAACUGACGCUGAGGAGCGAAAGCGUGGGUAGCAAACAGG
rnacentral:rRNA from 1 species